UAUAUCCUAUAAAAAUAGUGAUAAAAAAUUUAAAUUUCAAAUAAAAAAUAUUGAUAUUACUCUUGAUGAUAAGUAGAAUUUUUUAUUAAAUUUUUACUUAGUUUGAAUUAUUCUGCACCGUGGAACUUACAAAUGUGUCGCAUCAGCCAAUAAAAAUAGUCAUUUUUAAGAUUUUUUGAUCAGUAAAUAAUAUCAAAAAAUUAUAAAAUUUAGUUUCUAAAUAGUUCUACUAGCGUAAAUCAUAUCUAAAUAUAAUCGAUCAUCGAAUCGGAUGUCCCAGCAUAAAAAAUAACUUACAAAUACGAACACCGUCGUAU
rnacentral:lncRNA from 1 species